UACAGAGGUCUCAAGCGUUGUUCGGAUUCAUUGGGCGUAAAGGGUGCGUAGGUGGCGCUGUAAGUCAGGUGUGAAAUUUCGGAGCUUAACUCCGAAACUGCAUUUGAUACUGCGGUGCUUGAGGACUGGAGAGGAGACUGGAAUUCACGGUGUAGCAGUGAAAUGCGUAGAGAUCGUGAGGAAGACCAGUGGCGAAGGCGGGUCUCGUGGACAGUUCCUGACACUGAGGCACGAAGGCCAGGGGAGCAAACGGG
rnacentral:rRNA from 1 species